rnacentral:rRNA from 1 species
CCUACGGGCGGCAGCAGUGAGGAAUAUUGGUCAAUGGGCGCGAGCCUGAACCAGCCAAGUAGCGUGAAGGAUGACUGCCCUACGGGUGGUAAACUUCUUUUAUAAAGGAAUAAAGUGAGGCACGUGUGCCUUUUUGUAUGUACUUUAUGAAUAAGGAUCGGCUAACUCCGUGCCAGCAGCCGCGGUAAUACGGAGGAUCCGAGCGUUAUCCGGAUUUAUUGGGUUUAAAGGGAGCGUAGAUGGGUUGUUAAGUCAGUUGGGCAAGUUUGCGGCUCAACCGUAAAAUUGCAAUUGAUACUGGCAGCCUUGCGUACCGUUGCGGUAGGCGGAAUUCGUGGUGUAUCCGUGCUAUGCUUCGAUCUCACG